rnacentral:rRNA from 1 species
AACGAACGCUGGCGGCAGGCUUAACACAUGCAAGUCGAGCGCCCCGCAAGGGGAGCGGCAGACGGGUGAGUAACGCGUGGGAAUCUACCCAACUCUACGGAAUAACUCAGGGAAACUUGUGCUAAUACCGUAUACGCCCUUCGGGGGAAAGAUUUAUCGGAGUUGGAUGAGCCCGCGUUGGAUUAGCUAGUUGGUGGGGUAAAGGCCUACCAAGGCGACGAUCCAUAGCUGGUCUGAGAGGAUGAUCAGCCACACUGGGACUGAGACACGGCCCAGACUCCUACGGGAGGCAGCAGUGGGGAAUAUUGGACAAGGGGCGAAAGCCUGAUCCAGCCAUGCCGCGUGAGUGAUGAAGGCCCUAGGGUUGUAAAGCUCUUUCACCGAUGAAGAUAAUGACGGUAGUCGGAGAAGGAGCCCCGGCUAACUACGUGCCAGCAGCCGCCGUAAUAC